AGGGCCCUUUAAUAAAGGUCGGGCCCUUUAAUAAAGGUCGGGCCCUUUAAUAAAGGUCGGGCCCUUUAAUAAAGGUCGGGCCCUUUAAUAAAGGUCGGGCCCUUUAAUAAAGGUCGGGCCCUUUAAUAAAGGUCGGGCCCUUUAAUAAAGGUAGUUAGUUCAAUAGGUCUAGUUGAUUUCCUGCUUAGUUCAAUAGGUCUAGUUGGUUUCCUGCUUAGUUCAAUAGGUCUAGUUGGUUUCCUGCUUAGUUCAAUAGGUCUAGUUGGUUUCCUGCUUAGUUCAAUAGGUCUAGUUGAUUUCCUGCUUAGUUCAAUAGGUCUAGUUGGUUUCCUGCUUAGUUCAAUAGGUCUAGUUGGUUUCCUGCUUAGUUCAAUAGGUCUAGUUGGUUUCCUGCUUAGUUCAAUAGGUCUAGUUGGUUUCCUGCUUAGUUCAAUAGGUCUAGUUGGUUUCCUGCUUAGUUCAAUAGGUCUAGUUGAUUUCCUGCUUAGUUCAAUAGGUCUAGUUGAUUUCCUGCUUAGUUCAAUAGGUCUAGUUGAUUUCCUGCUUAGUUCAAUAGGUCUAGUUGGUUUCCUGCUUAGUUCAAUAGGUCUAGUUGGUUUCCUGCUUAGUUCAAUAGGUCUAGUUGGUUUCCUGCUUAGUUCAAUAGGUCUAGUUGGUUUCCUGUCUAGUUGGUUUCCUGCUUAGUUCAAUAGGUCUAGUUGGUUUCCUGCUUAGUUCAAUAGGUCUAGUUGGUUUCCUGCUUUGUUCAAAGCAUUUUUAAUCAAAUCAAAUAUAUUUAUAUAGCCCUUCUUACAUCAGCUGAUAUCUCAAAGUGCUGUACAGAAACCCAGCCUAAAACCCCAAACAGCAAGCAAGGCAGGUGUAGAAGCACGGUGGCUAGGAAAAACUCCCUAGAAAGGCCAGAACCUAGGAAGAAACCAAGAGAGGAACCAGGCUAUGUGGGGUGGCCAGUCCUCUUCUGGCUGUGCCGGGUGGAGAUUAUAACAGAACAUGGCCAAGAUGUUCAAAUGUUCAAAAAUGAGCAGCAGGGUCAAAUAAUAAUAAUCACAGUGGUUGUCGAGGGUGCAACAGGUCAGCACCUCAGGAGUAAAUGUUAGUUGGCUUUUCAUAGUCGAUCAUUGAGAGUAUCUCUACCGGUCCUGCUGUCUCUAGAGAGUUGAAAACAGCACGUCCGGUGAACAGGUCAGGGUUCCAUAGCUGCAGGCAGAACAGUUGAAACUGGAGCAGCAGCACGGCCAGGUGGACUGGGGACAGCAAGGAGUCAUCAUGCGAGGUAGUCCUGAGGCAUGGUCCUAGGGCUCAGGUCCUCUGAGAGAAAGAGAGAAUUAGAGAGAGCAUACUUAAAUUCACACAGGACACCGGAUAAGACAGGAGAAGUACUCCAGAUAUAACAAACUGACCCUAGCCCCCCGACACAUAAACUACUGCAGCAUAAACACUGGAGGCUGAGACAGGAAGGGUCAGGAGACACUGUGGCCCCAUCCGAUGAUACCCCCGGACAGGGCCAAACAGGAAGGAUAUAACCCCACCCACUUUGCCAAAGCACAGCCCCCACACCACUAGAGGGAUAUCUUCAACCACCAACUUACCAUCCUGAGACAAGGCCGAGUCUCAAUUCAUUUUUUGGGGUCUGGAUUCUGUGAUUCAGUCCUCGUUCUCCACAAGGCGUAUUUUAUAGGGCCCUAUAAAAAAUAGAGGUCCCAAAUGUCUCCCUAUUCCCUAUAUAGUGAAUUACUUCUGACUAGGGGCUCGCGUCCCUGUCCCCUGUGGUUCUGGCUUGCUGGCUGAAGGGGGUGGUGCUUGGCUACGGUUGCUAGCGUUCUGGCUUGCUGGCUGAAGGGGGGUUGCUAGGCUACGGUUGCUAGCGUUCUGGCUUGCUGGCUGAAGGGGGGUUGCUAGCGUUCUGGCUUGCUGGCUACGGUUGCUAGCGUUCUGGCUGCUUGCUGCUUGCUCACACUCUCUCUCACUUUUAAUGCACAAGAAAUAUAGUUAAAAGAAAAUGGAACAUGAUAGCCUACUGUUAGGAGUUGUCUUCUAGCCUGGUCCCAGAUCUGUUUGUGUUGUCUUGCCGACUCCAAUUGCUGUCAUUGUCAAACACAUCUGGGACCAGGCUAGUUGUCUUGUUGCCUGAAAUCCAUACCAUGGAGUGGAAUGUUGGCACAAAAACAAAUAUCUGGUACCAGGCUAACUGUGUUAUUAAUCUUGAUGUCUUACUCUG